rnacentral:rRNA from 1 species
GCACGGGUGAGUAAGGUAUAGUUAAUCUGCCCUACACAAGAGGACAACAGUUGGAAACGACUGCUAAUACUCUAUACUCCUGCUUAACACAAGUUGAGUAGGGAAAGUUUUUCGGUGUAGGAUGAGACUAUAUAGUAUCAGCUAGUUGGUAAGGUAAUGGCUUACCAAGGCUAUGACGCUUAACUGGUCUGAGAGGAUGAUCAGUCACACUGGAACUGAGACACGGUCCAGACUCCUACGGGAGGCAGCAGUAGGGAAUAUUGCGCAAUGGGGGAAACCCUGACGCAGCAACGCCGCGUGGAGGAUGACACUUUUCGGAGCGUAAACUCCUUUUCUUAGGGAAGAAUUCUGACGGUACCUAAGGAAUAAGCACCGGCUAACUCCGUGCCAGCAGCCGCGGUAAUACGGAGGGUGCAAGCGUUACUCGGAAUCACUGGGCGUAAAGGGCGCGUAGGCGGAUUAUCAAGUCUCUUGUGAAAUCUAAUGGCUUAACCAUUAAACUGCUUGGGAAACUGAUAGUCUAGAGUGAGGGAGAGGCAGAUGGAAUUGGUGGUGUAGGGGUAAAAUCCGUAGAUAUCACCAAGAAUACCCAUUGCGAAGGCGAUCUGCUGGAACUCAACUGACGCUAAGGCGCGAAAGCGUGGGGAGCAAACAGGAUUAGAUACCCUGGUAGUCCACGCCCUAAACGAUGUACACUAGUUGUUGGGGUGCUAGUCAUCUCAGUAAUGCAGCUAACGCAUUAAGUGUACCGCCUGGGGAGUACGGUCGCAAGAUUAAAACUCAAAGGAAUAGACGGGGACCCGCACAAGCGGUGGAGCAUGUGGUUUAAUUCGAAGAUACGCGAAGAACCUUACCUGGGCUUGAUAUCCUAAGAACCUUUUAGAGAUAAGAGGGUGCUAGCUUGCUAGAACUUAGAGACAGGUGCUGCACGGCUGUCGUCAGCUCGUGUCGUGAGAUGUUGGGUUAAGUCCCGCAACGAGCGCAACCCACGUAUUUAGUUGCUAACGGUUCGGCCGAGCACUCUAAAUAGACUGCCUUCGUAAGGAGGAGGAAGGUGUGGACGACGUCAAGUCAUCAUGGCCCUUAUGCCCAGGGCGACACACGUGCUACAAUGGCAUAUACAAUGAGACGCAAUACCGCGAGGUGGAGCAAAUCUAUAAAAUAUGUCCCAGUUCGGAUUGUUCUCUGCAACUCGAGAGCAUGAAGCCGGAAUCGCUAGUAAUCGUAGAUCAGCCAUGCUACGGUGAAUACGUUCCCGGGUCUUGUACUCACCGCCCGUCACACCAUGGGAGUUGAUUUCACUCGAAGCCGGA